rnacentral:sRNA from 8 species
AUGUACCACUCCUACACUGCGGUUCUGAGCGCGCCGUCCGCGCCCACCUGACGGCUGCUCGCUACGUUUUGUUGGCU